GUGGGGCCUGGAGCAGAUGUGGGGGCGCACUGUUUGCUUCCCCUCUGCGGGAGCUGCACUGUGGGAUCCAUGCUUAGCCUCCAACCUGAUACAGUCCACUUGGCAGUAAGGCGCCCCUGCGGCGGGGCACUGCUGCAGCCCCUGCCGGCAGAAGCAGAGCUGCCAGGGUUGGCUCAUUUGUAUCACUGGGGGAAAGCUGGCAUCAGGGACACUUUUAUUCUAUGUUGAAGGAGCAGCAGACCUUUGAGCUGCAGGUAAAGGUAUUUGUCUGAAAACUCCACUCUAAGAAAUAACAAUGAAAAUGGACCUUCUGGCAUCUGGGUGGUCAACAGAGACAGUGGAGCACUAUUCUGGCCAGAACUACCUCCUGUAUGAACACCAUGUGGCAACAUGACUAGUUCUGCUGCAACAUUCCCCAUGGCAAGAACCAGGAGUAGAACCCACUGGUCUUGUGGCAUUGGGCUGCAGUGCUUCGCUAAGGACCCAGAGGAAACAGGGCUGCUCCAGCUAUGCCAGUUAGAAUCUGAUGUCUGCUCCUGUACCACCAUGCAACUUCUUCACGCAGCCUCUCCUUGGAGCUGGACUGUGGUUGAGUUGCUUGAAAAAGAAGAGAGGAUACAAGUUUGUAAAGGUUGCAAACCUGAAGCUCCCUUACCUAGUUGGCGCAAGGAACCAGAUACUAACUGGCUACAAUUUGAAAGCUUCCAGAAAGUCCAUGAAAAGGGUAUCUGAUAUGUUGGUGCUGCUGCAGUAAUAGCUAUGUCAAAACCAGAAGGUGUUGCAACUUCCUAAGCAGUAAUAAUAGAUGGGUUGAUACCACCUACUUCCUUAGUUUGUCUUUUCCUGCUUUGUCAUAAGGGUGUCUGUCUGGUAGGACUAGAAAAAGGAAGACAGUGAAGUUUUAAAGGAUUUGCAAUUGUAAUGAGCACUAAUUCUUGUCAGAAGCAGACUACUAAGUUGCAGGGUGAAUGACAACCUGUGGGUCCAAGCUCCACUAUAGAGAGGUGGGAAUAGUGAGUCUGAAAGUUA
rnacentral:lncRNA from 1 species